rnacentral:rRNA from 1 species
AUUGAACGCUGGCGGCAUGCCUUACACAUGCAAGUCGAACGGCAGCACGGGAGCAAUCCUGGUGGCGAGUGGCGAACGGGUGAGUAAUAUAUCGGAACGUGCCCAGUCGUGGGGGAUAACGCAGCGAAAGCUGUGCUAAUACCGCAUACGAUCUAUGGAUGAAAGCGGGGGAUCGCAAGACCUCGCGUGAUUGGAGCGGCCGAUAUCAGAUUAGGUAGUUGGUGGGGUAAAGGCCCACCAAGCCGACGAUCUGUAGCUGGUCUGAGAGGACGACCAGCCACACUGGAACUGAGACACGGUCCAGACUCCUACGGGAGGCAGCAGUGGGGAAUUUUGGACAAUGGGCGCAAGCCUGAUCCAGCAAUGCCGCGUGCAGGAUGAAGGC